rnacentral:rRNA from 1 species
UACGUAGGGUGCAAGCGUUGCCCGGAUUUAUUGGGCGUAAAGGGCGCGUAGGCGGCCUGCUAAGUCGAACGUGAAAUCCCUGGGCUCAACCCAGGAACUGCGUCCGAUACUGGUUGGCUUGAAUCCGGGAGAGGGAUGUGGAAUUCCAGGUGUAGCGGUGAAAUGCGUAGAUAUCUGGAGGAACACCGGUGGCGAAGGCGACAUCCUGGACCGGUAUUGACGCUGAGGCGCGAAAGCCAGGGGAGCAAACGGG